GAUGAACGCUGGCGGCGUGCCUAAUACAUGCAAGUCGAGCGAAUGGAUUAAGAGCUUGCUCUUAUGAAGUUAGCGGCGGACGGGUGAGUAACACGUGGGUAACCUGCCCAUAAGACUGGGAUAGCUCCGGGAAACCGGGGCUAAUACCGGAUAACAUUUUGAACCGCAUGGUUCGAAAUUGAAAGGCGGCUUCGGCUGUCACUUAUGGAUGGACCCGCGUCGCAUUAGCUAGUUGGUGAGGUAACGGCUCACCAAGGCAACGAUGCGUAGCCGACCUGGGAGGGUGAUCGGCCACAAUGGGACUGAGACACGGCCCAGACUCCUACGGGAGGGAGCAGUAGGGAAUCUUCCGCAAUGGACGAAAGUCUGACGGAGCAACGCCGCGUGAGUGAUGAAGGCUUUCGGGUCGUAAAACUCUGUUGUUAGGGAAGAACAAGUGCUAGUUGAAUAAGCUGGCACCUUGACGGUACCUAACCAGAAAGCCACGGCUAACUACGUGCCAGCCGCCGCUGUAA
rnacentral:rRNA from 1 species